rnacentral:rRNA from 1 species
UGGUGGAGUGAUUUGUCUGGUUAAUUCCGAUAACGAACGAGACCUUAACCUGCUAACUAGGCGUUGAAACUAUGGUUUCAGAUAGUCUUCUUAGAGGGACUUUGCGUGUCUAACGCAAGGAAGUUUGAGGCAAUAACA